AGGGUGCAGGGCGGAUGCCUUGGCACUAGGAGCCGAUGAAGGACGUGAUAAGCUGCGAUAAGCUUCGGGGAGUUGCACGUAAACUUUGAUCCGAAGAUUUCCGAAUGAGGAAACUCACUUAGAGUAAUGUCUAAGUAUCGUUAAGUGAAUACAUAGCUUAGCGAGGGGAACCCGGGGAACUGAAACAUCUAAGUACCCGGAGGAAGAGAAAGAAAUUCGAUUCCGUAAGUAGCGGCGAGCGAACGCGGAACAGGCCAAACCAAUGAAGUUUACUUCGUUGGGGUUGCGGACAUACAACAUGGAUGCAAUAUCGUAAAUGAAGAGAGUUGGAAAGCUCCGCCAUAGAAGGUAAUAGCCCUGUAGUUGAAACGAGAAAGCUACUAGUAUGAUCCAGAGUACCACGGGACACGUGAAACCCUGUGGGAAGCAGGAGGGACCAUCCUCCAAGCCUAAAUACUACCUAGUGACCGAUAGCGCAUAGUACCGUGAGGGAAAGGUGAAAAGAACCCCGGGAGGGGAGUGAAAUAGAACCUGAAACCCUGCACUUACAAGCUGUGGGAGCACAUUACUUGUGUGACCGCGUACUUUUUGUAGAACGGGCCAACGAGUUACGUUAAGUAGCAAGGUUAAGCACUUAAGGUGUGGAGCCGUAGCGAAAGCGAGUCUUAAAUGGGCGAUUAAGUUACUUGGCGUAGACCCGAAACCGGGCGACCUAUCCAUGAGCAGGUUGAAGCGAAAGUAAAAUUUCGUGGAGGACCGAACCCACGAGCGUUGAAAAGCUCGGGGAUGACUUGUGGAUAGCGGUGAAAUUCCAAUCGAGCCCGGAGAUAGCUGGUUCUCCCCGAAAUAGCUUUAGGGCUAGCCUCAAGCGUAGAGAAACGGAGGUAGAGCACUGAAUGUCCUAGGGGGUAUUGCACUUACCGAAGACUAUCAAACUCCGAAUGCCGUUUUCUUUUACUUGGGAGUCAGACUGUGGGUGAUAAGAUUCAUAGUCAAAAGGGCAACAGCCCAGAUCGUCAGCUAAGGUCCCUAAAUGUACGUUAAGUGGUAAAGGAUGUGGGAUUGCACAGACAACCAGGAUGUUGGCUUAGAAGCAGCCACUCAUUUAAAGAGUGCGUAAUAGCUCACUGGUCGAGUGAUCCUGCGCCGAAAAUUUCCGGGGCUAAAACGUACUACCGAAGCUACGGCAUCAUUUAUGAUGGGUAGGGGAGCUUCGUAUGCAGGCUGAAGCAUGACCGUAAGGACAUGUGGACAGUAUACGAGUGAGAAUGUUGGCAUGAGUAGCGAGACGUGGGUGAGAAUCCCACGGGCCGUAAACCCAAGGUUUCCAGGGGAAGGUUCGUCCGCCCUGGGUUAGUCGGGACCUAAGCCGAGGCCGAAAGGCGUAGGUGAUGGACAACAGGUUGAUAUUCCUGUACCGCCAAUAAGCGUUUGAGAGAUGGAGUGACACAGUAGGAUAAGCUAACCGUACUGUUGGUUAUGUACGGCUAAGCAUUGAGGCAGUCUAAAUAGGCAAAUCCGUUUGGACAAUGCUAGGAUGUGAUGGGGAAGCCCUUCGGGGCGAAGUAGCUGAUUUCACACUGUCAAGAAAAGCUUCUAUCGAGUUUAAAGGCGCCCGUACCGUAAACCGACACAGGUGGGUGAGGAGAGUAUCCUAAGGCCAGCGAGAGAACUAUUGUUAAGGAACUCGGCAAAAUGACCCCGUAACUUAGGGAGAAGGGGUGCCUGUCUAUGACAGGCCGCAGAGAAUAGGCCCAAGCGACUGUUUACCAAAAACACAGGUUUCUGCUAAGUCGCAAGACGAUGUAUAGGAGCUGACGCCUGCCCGGUGCUGGAAGGUUAAGGGGAUCUGUUAGAGCAAUCGAAGCAGUGAACUUAAGCCCCAGUAAACGGCGGCCGUAACUAUAACGGUCCUAAGGUAGCGAAAUUCCUUGUCGGGUAAGUUCCGACCCGCACGAAAGGCGUAACGAUCUGGGCGCUGUCUCAACAAGAGACUCGGUGAAAUCAUAGUACCUGUGAAGAUGCAGGUUACCCGCGACAGGACGGAAAGACCCCGUGGAGCUUUACUGUAGCUUGAUAUUGAGCACUGGUGGCACAUGUACAGGAUAGGUAGGAGACGAAGAAACCAGGACGCCAGUCUUGGUGGAGUCGCUGUUGGGAUACUACCCUUGUGUCACUGGGGUUCUAACCCGUGGCCCUUAUCGGGUCAGGGAACAGUGUCAGGUGGGCAGUUUGACUGGGGCGGUCGCCUCCCAAAGAGUAACGGAGGCGCCCAAAGGUUCCCUCAGAAUGGUUGGAAAUCAUUCGAAGAGUGUAAAGGCAGAAGGGAGCUUGACUGCGAGACCUACAAGUCGAGCAGGGACGAAAGUCGGGCUUAGUGAUCCGGCGGUACCGAAUGGAAGGGCCGUCGCUCAACGGAUAAAAGCUACCCCGGGGAUAACAGGCUGAUCUCCCCCAAGAGUUCACAUCGACGGGGAGGUUUGGCACCUCGAUGUCGGCUCAUCGCAUCCUGGGGCUGUAGUCGGUCCCAAGGGUUGGGCUGUUCGCCCAUUAAAGCGGUACGCGAGCUGGGUUCAGAACGUCGUGAGACAGUUCGGUCCCUAUCCGUCGUGGGCGUAGGAAAUUUGAGAGGAGCUGUCCUUAGUACGAGAGGACCGGGAUGGACACACCGCUGGUGUACCAGUUGUUCUGCCAGGAGCAUAGCUGGGUAGCUACGUGUGGACGGGAUAAACGCUGAAAGCAUCUAAGCGUGAAGCCCCCCUCAAGAUGAGAUUUCCCAUUCGAAAGAAGUAAGAUCCCUUGA
rnacentral:rRNA from 1 species